rnacentral:rRNA from 1 species
UGCGCAGGCGGUUUUUUAAGUCAGAUGUGAAAUACCCGGGCUUAACCUGGGGGGUGCAUUUGAAACUGGGGAACUUGAGUGCAGGAGAGGAAAGUGGAAUUCCUAGUGUAGCGGUGAAAUGCGUAGAUAUUAGGAGGAACACCAGUGGCGAAGGCGACUUUCUGGACUGUAACUGACGCUGAGGCACGAAAGCGUGGGGAGCAAACAGGAUUAGAUACCCUGGUAGUCCACGCCGUAAACGAUGGAUACUAGGUGUAGGGGGCGAUAGCUCUCUGUGCCGCAGCAAACGCAAUAAGUAUCCCGCCUGGGGAUACGAUCGCAAGGUUGAA